AAUAAGGAGUAACUUGAUGGAUCCGCUUGCGUUAGCUGUGGUCAACACACGUGUUUUAGUGAUCUUGGUGUCUUAUUUCUUAUUGUUUACAGUGUAAAUAGUAGAUUAUUGUGGGAUUAGUGGUUAAACUAACAUUAUUAUUGUAGGUUAUGGUGUAACAAUGAAAGUCUGACUAUUUUGCCUGUUUUCAAAAUUAAAUAGAGACUGUUAUCUCUACUGCACCGA